ACUUCGGUCCUAGCGGCGAACGGGUGAGGAAUGCUUGGGAAUCUGCCCAGUAGCGGGGGAUAACGUUUCGAAAGGAACGCUAAUACCGCAUACGCCCUACGGGGGAAAGGGGGGGAUCUUCGGACCUCUCACUAUUGGAUGAGCCCAAGUCGGAUUAGCUAGUUGGUGAGGUAAAGGCUCACCAAGGCGACGAUCCGUAGCUGGUCUGAGAGGAUGAUCAGCCACACUGGAACUGAGACACGGUCCAGACUCCUACGGGAGGCAGCAGUGGGGAAUAUUGGACAAUGGGCGAAAGCCUGAUCCAGCCAUGCCGCGUGUGUGAAGAAGGCCUUCGGGUUGUAAAGCACUUUAAGCGAGGAGGAAGGGCUCUAGGUUAAUACCUUGGAGCAUUGACGUUACUCGCAGAAUAAGCACCGGCUAACUCUGUGCCAGCAGCCGCGGUAAUACAGAGGGUGCAAGCGUUAAUCGGAAUUACUGGGCGUAAAGCGCGCGUAGGCGGUUACGUAAGUUGGGUGUGAAAUCCCCGGGCUCAACCUGGGAAUUGCACUCAAAACUGCGUGGCUAGAGUGUGGGAGAGGAAGGUAGAAUUCCAGGUGUAGCGGUGAAAUGCGUAGAUAUCUGGAGGAAUACCGAUGGCGAAGGCAGCCUUCUGGCCUAACACUGACGCUGAGGUGCGAAAGCAUGGGGAGCAAACAGGAUUAGAUACCCUGGUAGUCCAUGCCGUAAACGAUGUCUACUAGCCGUUGGGGGACUUGAUCCUUUAGUGGCGCAGCUAACGCAUUAAGUAGACCGCCUGGGGAGUACGGUCGCAAGACUAAAACUCAAAUGAAUUGACGGGGGCCCGCACAAGCGGUGGAGCAUGUGGUUUAAUUCGAUGCAACGCGAAGAACCUUACCUGUCUUGACAUGUC
rnacentral:rRNA from 1 species